AAAUAAGAACUAACUCUGGUCAAGUAACAUUUGUUAAAUCUGUCCAAUCAUAUUCGUCUCGGAAAAUAAGGAAUUUAAAACACUCAUUGCGAAUGAAGAAUCCACUGUAUUUCCUUUUCUGGCUAAUUGUCUUGCUCUGGCUGUCGUUUAUUGUGGCCUUUAUCGGCGCCUUCUUCUACAUAUUCACCUACAUGUUCGCUCAAUGCAGUGACUGCUGCCAGGGUCUUGCUACAUUUUUCCUAAAGUGCGUUCAGUUUCCCGGAUACUGCGCUGCAGGUAUGAUGCACUGCAAGAAACCGUGCUAAAAGCAGCCAAAGAUGGCAUUCACCGAACACCGGACAUCUAAGAUGUCAGCCUUCACCAUACAUAUGUACACUAUAUUGUUUUGCAGUUUUCUUUUUUUACUUUUGAUACGAUACUGCCUGAUGAUAUUCCUCUGCGUUUGAACUUUCAUCGACUUCAAAACCGAUAGCGGUUUUUCAGCCGCUAUAAUUCAUUACAGAUUAAGAGAUCGGUGGAGCAUGACUUGGGCCGCUUAUUGAGUGAUCUUACUUUAUUUAGAUUUUGAAUAUGCAGACUUAGAUUUAAAUAAAUGACACGUUCAUUCAUAUAUUAUACAAUAUAUCUCA